rnacentral:rRNA from 1 species
CAUUACACAAAUAUGAAGCCGGACUGGGAUAGGGCCUCGCUGCCUUGCCCGUCUGGCGCCAUAUUCACCCAUGUCUUUUUGCGUACUACUUGUUUCCUUGGCGGGUCCGCCCGCCAAUUGGACCUUAUUCAAACCUUUUUUUUCAGUUGCAAUCAGCGUCAGCAAAACAAAUGUAAUCAAUUACAACUUUCAACAACGGAUCUCUUGGUUCUGGCAUCGAUGAAGAACGCAGCGAAAUGCGAUAAGUAGUGUGAAUUGCAGAAUUCAGUGAAUCAUCGAAUCUUUGAACGCACAUUGCGCCCUUUGGUAUUCCAAAGGGCAUGCCUGUUCGAGCGUCAUUUGUACCCUCAAGCUUUGCUUGGUGUUGGGCGUNUUGUCUCUCUCCCGAGACUCGCCUUAAAAUCAUUGGCAGCCGGCCUACUGGUUUCGGAGCGCAGCACAUUAUUUGCGCUCUUGUCCAGCCGCGGUCGCGCGUCCAUGAAGCUUCUUUCAACCUUUUGACCUCGGGUCAGGUAGGGAUACC